GUGGAUUAGAUACCCUGGUAGUCCACGCCGUAAACGAUGGAUGCUAGCCGUCAGCAAGCAUGCUUGUUGGUGGCGCAGCUAACGCAUUAAGCAUCCCGCCUGGGGAGUACGGCCGCAAGGUUAAAACUCAAAGGAAUUGACGGGGGCCCGCACAAGCGGUGGAGCAUGUGGUUUAAUUCGACGCAACGCGCAGAACCUUACCAACCCUUGACAUGCCCGGUCGGUUUCCAGAGAUGGAUUCCUCCCAGCAAUGGGCCGGGACACAGGUGCUGCACGGCCGUCGUCAACU
rnacentral:rRNA from 1 species